rnacentral:rRNA from 1 species
GACGAACGCUGGCGGCGUGCUUAACACAUGCAAGUCGAACGGAAAGGCCCUGCUUUUGUGGGGUGCUCGAGUGGCGAACGGGUGAGUAACACGUGAGUAACCUGCCCUUGACUUUGGGAUAACUUCAGGAAACUGGGGCUAAUACCGGAUAGGAGCUCCUGCUGCAUGGUGGGGGUUGGAAAGUUUCGGCGGUUGGGGAUGGACUCGCGGCUUAUCAGCUUGUUGGUGGGGUAGUGGCUUACCAAGGCUUUGACGGGUAGCCGGCCUGAGGGGGUGACCGGCCACAUUGGGACUGAGAUACGGCCCAGACUCCUACGGGAGGCAGCAGUGGGGAAUAUUGCACAAUGGGCGGAAGCGUGAUGCAGCAACGCCGCGUGCGGGAUGACGGCCUUCGGGUUGUAAACCGCUUUCGCCUGUGACGAAGCGUGAGUGACGGUAAUGGGUAAAGAAGCACCGGCUAACUACGUG